UUGGAACAGGGCGUCCCAGAGGGUGAGAAUCCCGUACGCGACCGACGAUCAAGCCCUUGUGAAGCCCUUUCGACGAGUCGAGUUGUUUGGGAAUGCAGCUCUAAAUGGGUGGUAAAUUUCAUCUAAAGCUAAAUAUCUGCCAAAGACCGAUAGCGCACAAGUAGAGUGAUCGAAAGAUGAAAAGAACUUUGAAAAGAGAGUCAAACAGUACGUGAAAUCGUUAAAAAGGAAGGGCUUGCAAACCAGACUCGCUCGNGGGUGNUCAACCGACCCUCGGGGCGGUGCAUUCUCCCGCGAUCGGGCCAGCAUCGGUUCUGGCGGCCGGAUAAAGGCCUUGGGAACGUAGCUCCUCUCGGGGAGUGUUAUAGCCCGGGGUGCAAUGCGGCCAGCCGGGACCGAGGACCGCGCAUUCGCUAGGAUGCUGGCGUAAUGGUUGCUAGCCGCCCGUCUUGAAACACGGACCAAGGAGUCGACCAACGGGGCGAGUGUUUGGGCGUUAAACCCAUGCGCGCAAUGAAAGUGAACGGAGGUGGGAGCCUUCGGGUGCACCAUCGACCGAUCCUGAUGUCUUCGGAUGGAUUUGAGUACGAGCCCCGCUGGCCGGACCCGAAAGAUGGCGAACUAUGCGUGAAUAGGGCGAAGCCAGAAGAAAUUCUGGUGGAGGCUCGCAGCGGUUCUGACGUGCAAAUCGAUCGUCAAAUUUGCGCAUAGGGGCGAAAGGUGCGUUUAUUUCUCCCCCGGAACCUCAGAAAAACAUGGUAGAUUUUUUUCGACUAACUUUCGAGCAGACUAAUCGAGCCAUCUAGUAGCUGGUUCCCGUCGAAGUUUCCCUCAGGAUAGCAGCAACGGAAACAGUCUCAUGAGGUAGAGCGAACGAUUAGAGGCAUGGGGGUUGAAACAACCUUCACCUAUUCUCGAACUUCGAAUAUGUGAGAAGUCCUUGUUACUUAGUUGAAGCGUGGACAUUUCGGAUGUAUCGUGNAGG
rnacentral:rRNA from 1 species